rnacentral:lncRNA from 1 species
GAACAUCUUCAAGGAUAUAACCAGAAGGACCAGAAACAACUUUAGGUUCGGUUAAACCCAUCUUAACAGCUUCGGAACUAACAACCUUAGGUUCGGUAACAGCUUCGGUUGAUGAUGAAUUUUGAUUGCAAAAGAACAAACAAUCUAUGAGCCUUUUUAAACAAGUGUUAGAUUAAAUAGAGUAAUAUAUAUAGCAAACUCUUUUACCAUAUGAAUCAAAAUUGGUGGCACAAAAAAAAAAGCUUUAUUUGAUCAUAAUAAAAAUUAUGAAAGUGGAAAAGAAGAGUGGAAACUUUAAUAGGUAGUUGAAAACUUGACAAAGAUGAGAAAAAAAAGGAAUAAAUUAUUUUUUAUUUUUUUGAAUGGUUUUUUGAAGAAUUUUUGAAGAAAAGAAGAAAGUCUAAGUUGACAUACAGAGAAGAAGGUGCGUGGAACACAGAG